AACGAACGCUGGCGGCGCGCCUAACACAUGCAAGUCGAACGAGAAUCCGGGGCAACCCGGUAGUAAAGUGGCAAACGGGUGAGGAAUACAUGGGUAACCUACCCUUGAGAAGGGAAUAACCCGCCGAAAGGUGAGCUAAUACCCUAUACGCUAUCUUUUUUCGAAAGGAAUAGGAAAGCCGGGUCGAGGACCUGGUACUCAAGGAGGGGCGUCAUGUCCUAUCAGCUUGUUGGUGGGGUAACGGGCCUACCAAGGCUACGACGGGUAGCUGGUCUGAGAGGAUGAUCAGCCACACUGGCACUGAGAUACGGGCCAGACUCCUACGGGAGGCAGCAGUGAGGAAUAUUGCGCAAUGGGCGAAAGCCUGACGCAGCGACGCCGCGUGGGGGAGUG
rnacentral:rRNA from 1 species